GCCACGAAAGAGUUUCUCACCUAAGGAAUUCCAGUUGCAAUUAAAUUCAACAUCAAAAGAGGAAUCACAAGCCAAAUUAAAAAGGGAUUUCAAAACCCUAGAAGGAUGGAACUCUUCAACUAUAAAAGGGCAGCCUCCAAACCAGCAAAGGCAUCUUCUGCUGAGGAAUUGAACUCGCCAGAAAAUCUCCAGCAUCUUGCUUUUUCUUUUCCUUUCAUCUUUUUGUGUAUUUAGUCCACCAUGAGUGGCUAAACUCUUUUCUUUUCUAGUUGAAGUUGAUAAUAUUCAGAUUUGUGAUGAAUUGGGAGGUUUAAUACUCCAUUGUUGAACUCUUGUUUGUUUCAAUAUUUAUGCAAAC
rnacentral:lncRNA from 1 species